GCGCUCGUAGCUCAGUGGAUAGAGCAUCAGCUUGCGGAGCUGGGGGUCGUUGGUUCGAAUCCAAUCGAGCGCGCCA
rnacentral:tRNA from 1 species